AGUGAACGCUGGCGGUAGGCCUAACACAUGCAAGUCGAACGGCAGCACAGUAAGAGCUUGCUCUUACGGGUGGCGAGUGGCGGACGGGUGAGGAAUACAUCGGAAUCUACUUUUUCGUGGGGGAUAACGUAGGGAAACUUACGCUAAUACCGCAUACGACCUACGGGUGAAAGCAGGGGAUCUUCGGACCUUUCGCGAUUGAAUGAGCCGAUGUCGGAUUAGCUAGUUGGCGGGGUAAAGGCCCACCAAGGCGACGAUCCGUAGCCGGUCUGAGAGGAUGAUAAGCCACACUGGAACUGAAACGCGGUCAAGAGUCCUAAGGGAGGCAGCAGUGGGGAAUAUUGGACAAUGGGGGCAAGCAUGAUCCAGCAAUACCACGUGGGUGAAAAAGGCCUUCGGGUUGUAAAGACCUUUUGUUGGGAAAGAAAAGCAGCAGGUUAAGACGCCGCUGUUCUGACGGUAACCAAAGAAUAAGCACCGGCUAACUUCGUG
rnacentral:rRNA from 1 species